rnacentral:rRNA from 1 species
CCUACGGGUGGCAGCAGUGGGGGAUAUUGCACAAUGGGGGAAACCCUGAUGCAGCGACGCCGCGUGGGUGAAGAAGUAAUUCGGUAUGUAAAGCUCUAUCAGCAGGGAAGAAGAACUGACGGUACCUGAGUAAGAAGCACCGGCUAAAUACGUGCCAGCAGCAGCGGUAAUACGGAGGGUGCAAGCGUUAUCCGGAUUUACUGGGUGUAAAGGGAGCGCAGGCGGCACGGCAAGCCUGAUGUGAAAGACCGCGGCAGAACCGCGGAACUGCGUUGGGAACUACCGGACUGGAGUGCGGGAGGGGUAGGCGGAAUUCCUAGUGUAGCGGUGAAAUGCGUAGAUAUUAGGAGGAACACUCGUGGCGAAGGCGGGUUCCUGGACAUUAACUGACGCUGAGGCACGAAGGCGAGGGGAGCGAAAGGGAUUAGAUACCCGGGUAGUC